CAGUCGAGCGAACUGACGAGGAGCUUGCUCCUUUGACGUUAGCGGCGGACGGGUGAGUAACACGUGGGUAACCUACCUAUAAGACUGGAAUAACUCCGGGAAACCGGGGCUAAUGCCGGAUAACAUAUCGAACCGCAUGGUUCGAUAGUGAAAGACGGUCUUGCUGUCACUUAUAGAUGGACCCGCGCCGUAUUAGCUAGUUGGUGAGGUAACGGCUCACCAAGGCAACGAUACGUAGCCGACCUGAGAGGGUGAUCGGCCACACUGGAACUGAGACACGGUCCAGACUCCUACGGGAGGCAGCAGUAGGGAAUCUUCCGCAAUGGGCGAAAGCCUGACGGAGCAACGCCGCGUGAGUGAUGAAGGUCUUCGGAUCGUAAAGCUCUGUUGUUAGGGAAGAACAAAUGUGUAAGUAACUGUGCACAUCUUGACGGUACCUAACCAGAAAGCCACGGCUAACUACGUGCCAGCAGCCGCGGUAAUACGUAGGUGGCAAGCGUUAUCCGGAAUUAUUGGGCGUAAAGCGCGCGUAGGCGGUUUUUUAAGUCUGAUGUGAAAGCCCACGGCUCAACCGUGGAGGGUCAUUGGAAACUGGAAAACUUGAGUGCAGAAGAGGAAAGUGGAAUUCCAUGUGUAGCGGUGAAAUGCGCAGAGAUAUGGAGGAACACCAGUGACGAAGGCUGCUUUCUGGUCUGUAACUGACGCUGAUGUGCGAAAGCGUGGAGAUCAACAUGAUUAGAUACCCUGGUAGUCCACGCGUAACGAUGA
rnacentral:rRNA from 1 species